rnacentral:rRNA from 2 species
AGCGAUUUUCUGGAUCGUUUCUGACGCUCAGACGCGAAAGCUAGGGUAGCAAACGGGAUUAGAGACCCCGGUAGUCCUAGCCGUAAACGAUGUGAACUUGGCGUCGGUGGCUUAAACUCCAUCGGUGCCGAAGCCAACGCGAUAAGUUCACCGCCCGGGGACUACGACCGCAAGGUUAAAACUCAAAGGAAUUGACGGGGGCCCGCACGAGCAGCGGAGCGUGUGGUUUAAUUCGAUGCUACACGAAGAACCUUACCCGGGUUUGACAUACAGGUGGUAGGGAUCCGAAAGGUGACCGACCCGCAAGGGAGCCUGAACAGGUGUUGCAUGGCUGUCGUCAGCUCGU